AUCAUUUACUAAUUCGUUUUCUUGUAUGUAUUAAUUUCCCACAGUCUCAGAGAGCUUUUAGAAACUUAAAAGUCACACUUAAAAAUAACAAUAUAUCUAUUUUUUUGCAAUCUGAAACCUAACAAGUUUUAUUGUUUGAUUUUUGAAAAGUUUUUAAAUGAAUGUCACCUGGUUUUUAUAUUUCUACAUUUUAAAGUGUUUAAAUCACCAGAUAAUUGUUGGGCAUCUAUAUUUCAAUCAUCUCUUUUCCUCUUCUACAGGGAACCUUUAGCAGCCCUUCGAACAUUAGAAAAACUUUCCGGAUUUCAGAAAAGCAGUAUAUUCUCACAGCUCUUGGCGCAAGAGCGAAGUUGAAAUCCUGGUUUGAUGUGGAUAGUCUGUUCAACACCAAAAACUGGCUAGGAUACACCAAGAAAAGAUCUCCCAUUGGCUUUCACAGAGUGGUGGACAUCCUGCAGAAGAACAGCGCCCCUGUAAAUGUGCUGCAGGAGUAUGUGAACCUCAUCGACGACCCAGAACUCAAGCUCAGCGUGGCUCUGAAAUAUAAAUGCCAUGACGUCGUCAUCAAUACAUACAGAGACCUGAAGGACCGGCAGGAGCUUGUUGUGUACAGAGAGAAGCUGGAACGGGACUCGCCCGAAUACAGGAAGAUCCAGGAACUCCUCAAUAACGUGCAAAUCAGAUGGAAAAACUGACACGAGGCAGUGGUGGGCAAUGUGUGUCAGAGCUCUCUUUCAUAGACAAUGUUACACAAAAAAACACUAUGAAGCUGCUUAAUGUGGAGUUAAUCCUGAACAAACACGACUGAGAUCCUCACAGCCGUUGAACAUUGAACAGUCAUUCAGAGGGAUUCUUUUGCAAAUAUAUGUGUUCUGUAUGAUUAAACUGCCAAGUGUCCUUCUGCCAACUCUACAGGUGAACAUUUCUAAAGUGGUUGCUGACGAUGAACAACAUACUGUUUCACCCCUCACACCUUUUUGUUUGCCCGUGUAUGAAUUUCUGAACAUUCCUCACCCUCAUUAUUUUAUAUUAAAAAAUAAUAUGAUACUGAACUGUU